UACGUAGGCAGCGAGCGUUUUUCGGAGUUACUGGGCGUAAAGAGUGCGUAGGUGGUUCUCUAAGUUCGGUGUGAAAUCUCCCGGCUCAACUGGGAGGGUGCGCCGGAAACUGGAGGGCUUGAGUGCGGGAGAGGAGAGCGGAAUUCCUGGUGUAGCGGUGAAAUGCGUAGAUAUCAGGAGGAACACCGGUGGUGCAGACGGCUCUCUGGACCGCAACUGACACUGAGGCACGAAAGCGUGGGGAGCAAACAGG
rnacentral:rRNA from 1 species